GAUGAACGCUAGCGGCAGGCUUAACACAUGCAAGUCGAGGGGCAUCGGGAGGGAAGCUUGCUUUCCUUGCCGGCGACCGGCGCACGGGUGAGUAACACGUAUGCAACCUGCCCUCUUCAGGGGGACAACCUUCCGAAAGGGAGGCUAAUCCCGCGUAUAUCGGUUUCGGGCAUCCGAGAUCGAGGAAAGAUUCAUCGGAAGAGGAUGGGCAUGCGGCGCAUUAGCUUGACGGCGGGGUAACGGCCCACCGUGGCGACGAUGCGUAGGGGUUCUGAGAGGAAGGUCCCCCACACUGGUACUGAGACACGGACCAGACUCCUACGGGAGGCAGCAGUGAGGAAUAUUGGUCAAUGGGAGAGAUCCUGAACCAGCCAAGCCGCGUGAGGGAAGACGGCCCUAUGGGUUGUAAACCUCUUCUGUCGGAGAACAAAACCCGGGACGUGUCCCGGACUGCGUGUAUCCGAAGAAAAAGCAUCGGCUAACUCCGUGCCAGCAGCCGCCGUAAAAC
rnacentral:rRNA from 1 species